AUAGUUCUGGGCCGCACGCGACGCUACACUGAUGUAUUCAACGAGUUUAUAGCCUUGGCCGUACAGGCCCGGGUAAAUCUUUGAAAUUUCAUCGUGAUGGGGAUAGAUCAUUGCAAUUGUUGGGCAUCAAUUAAGGUGCAUAAAUAGCCUUGUAAGAUCUAUUUAGAUU
rnacentral:ncRNA from 1 species